rnacentral:misc_RNA from 1 species
UUGAUUAAUUCAUUAAGAAGAAACCUCAUACGGUUAAAGCCAAUAACAGAAAAACCAAAACCAGUAAAUUAAUAACUAAAUAAUCUGUGUGUCCUUAAAUCAUAUGAACCAAUUCUAUCUUUGAAUUGAAGAAUCCAGCAUUGAAAUAAUGUACAUGAAAGAACACUUGAUUACAACUUCGAUCCUGGUAAAUGAAUCCUUUUUAAUUCUCUUCUCAAUAUCUUCCCUGAUGGACUUUUUGGUAUGGAGCUAACAAAUGCCACCCGCCUUAUCUUCUUAUAUGGAGCAACCUGUUUUGAAAUAAAAUCAAUCACUUGUUCUUUGUCAAGAGUGCUUUGGGGACGUCUCACAACAAACGCCAUGGGCAGUUGACCAGCUUCUUCAUCAGGAUAUGGUAUGACAGCAGCAUCUACUAUUUCAGGGUGAGAUUGAAGAAGUUGUUCUAGUUCAGCAGGAGCAACCUGGUAUCCCUUAUAUUUGAUCAGCUCCUUCAGCCUGUCUACGACAAAAAGGUAUCCAUGAUGAUCAAUAUAACAAAGAUCACCAGUCCUCAACCACCCACAUGGCAUCAGAGUUUCAGAAGUGUUCUUCGGAUCACCGAUGUAACCUUGCAUAAUGAUUGGACCUUUAAUCCAGAGCUCUCCUUGCUCAACAGGACACAGAGCAAUUCCAGUGUCCGGAUCUACAAUUUUUGCUUCAGAAUUUGCCAUUAACCUUCCUACAGAACCCUGAUGAAGCAUUUCUUCAGUUGUUGCAGACCGAAAUGCUGCUCCGGUUGUUUCAGUUAGUCCAUAUCCUUGAAAUAAUAUGAUGUUUGGAAACUUGUGUGCAAAUGCUUGCAUAACAUCUUUCCCAAGUGAAGCUCCGCCGCUGCCAACUGCUUCUAAUGAACUCAAAUCAUAGCCAUGAGUAACACUUCCUUUAGCCAUCGCCACCACAACCGGCGGAGCCACCACUAAUUGUGUCACCCUGAAAUCCACUACCGUCUUCAACAUUUUCUUCAAAUCAAAUCUCUCCAUCACCACAACAGUAUCAGUUAUAGCUACCGAUUUCAACAUGUAAUGAAAACCAAACACAUGAAACAACGGCACCGUAUACAACAUCACCGCCGGCGAAUCCCUCUCCGGUCUCUGAGCAUGGUAAUUCGCAAUACUUGCUAUAAAAUUCCGAUGAGUCAGCUUCACCCCCUUUACCUCCCCUGUAGUCCCCGACGAAUACAUAAUCGCCGCUAAAUCCGAUUGAUUCACUUCUACUGUUUUGAGCUUCAAUCCAGUGUUCAUCAUCAUCAAUUCGAACUCCGGCGUAUCGAUAAGAACAGCUGGGUGUUUCAAUUUCGGAAGCUUCUGGAAGUUUCUCGAUGUAGCAAACGCGAUUACAGGUUUCGUUAACUUAAUCUGUCGCAAAAGCUCAGAUUCUGUGCUGAGGGGAUUAGCAGGAGAGAUUACAACACCGAGGGAGAGAAGAGAAAAGUACAGAAUCGGAAUAUGAGUUGAGUUUGGAGAAAGAACAAAAGCGACGUCGUUUUUGGAAAGACGAAGUGUAUUCUGAAUGGAAGAAGCUAAUGAAACAACACGUUGCCGGAAAUCGGAGAAGGAGAUACGGCGACCGGUGGAUGAGUCGAUAAAGGCGGUGGCUUCAGUGUUGUGUUGGAGAGAUAGUGCAUAAGAAGCAGCGGAAACAGGAGAAGACAUUGGAGGAAGUAGGAGUGGUGGUCGGAAACUAUGGAAAGUUUUGGUUUUUGAAGAGAAUCCGCUAUUUGGGUCGACGGAAGAUGAUGAACUUGCGUUGUCCAUGGGAGGAAAGUAGUUGUAUUGCGGCAGAGCUCCGGCGAUUACACGGCGGAGACACCUUGUGUCGGAGUUGGAAGACAGAGAUUCCAACUAAAUUAGUGGUCGUUACAGACG